UGAAAGCUCUUAAUACACUGCUUUAGUCUGUCAAGGUCUCUAAUACCUCCAGCCAGACAGGCUGACAUGCCUCAAGGUGGAUCUUCCUUGUUCUCACACAGUCCAGCACACAGAGCAUGGUAAUGAGUGCAUGGGAACCUGACAGCCAUGAGGAGCCCCCUGCAAGCUGCUCCUCCAAAGCCUGAUCAUCUCAGGGCCCAGGCAUGGCCAUCACAGGUUAAAGUCCAUUCUCACCUCAUCAGAAAAUGAAUAUACACGCAUGUGUGCUGUACCUAAGACUGAAAGGAUAAUUGCUUCCACCAUCCUGACCACUGGAUAAAAUUAUUUGCAGAGUUACAGGCAGUUCCUGUGAAUGCUGAGAAGAGAUUAGAGGAACUGCAGACUGCUCCAACACCAAUGGAAGUUCAUGGGGAAAAUCCCAUUUCCUGUUUUUAACAACUAGAGCUUCCUUUCUGUGUUAAACCUUGUACCACCCACCAGCCUUUCUUUCUCAUUUUGGGCAAAUGUGUGGGAGAGAGUUGUGAAAAAUGAGAUGGGAAUUUGUGUCUGCUGGAGCUGGAAGCUCAAAACCUGAAGCCCUGAGGUUCCUGAGAGGAGGAUUUGAUCACACUGUUCUCAUUCCUGGACGGACAUGGAGUGAUGAGUAGUGGAUUUUGGGAGUGUGUCUGCGUGCUUGUGCAGACAGCUGCUGCUCAUGAUGCUCCAGCCUGUGUUCCUGCAGAGCUGGAUCAGUGGGAAAUAUAUACAUAGGGUUGUUUGAAGUGUGUAACUCACCAGAGCUGCUUCCCAAAGCUGAGCACAGACUCUGUUGAGCUAUGUUUGUGCUCAGUGUGGUGCAGCUCCCUGAGCGCGGGUACCUGGUGCUGCUUUGGAAGCACCAGUGUGACCAGGACAUCCAGAGUGGGCAGGGUGGGUAUUGAUGCACCAAAGUAUCUCUGGAUAUGCAUUUUAGUAAUCUGAAUUAUUUCUCAAAACUCAUUCAGAACUAGCUCAGGAAUGUGCACUAGACAAGACUGUAAAAUUUAACUCUUUAUGAGCUGUGGCCUGCUCUGG